UUUUGCAGGGUGGUAGCGGGAAGCUCGUGAAUAUUCAUGAGGGAACUGAUCCCUGAUUGGCUGGGACUUGUUGGCUGGGACUUGGCUCGCUGGGACUUUGUCAGAGGGCUUGUGUGAAAAUCACGAACGCAAAUGAAUUAAACGUUGCUAUAAAAACGAAUAAUUUGACACAUGAUACCCACCUACUACACGGCAACUCUAUAGCUACCUUUCUGUAAGUACAAACGUUAGCUCACUCGUCUAAAAGCCCCUGUGAAACUGUUAUGUGUCACGGGGGCUACUGUAGUAAAUCCUUUUUGUAUUCAUUAUAUUUUAUAACGUUAUGUAUAGCGCAUCGGCAAAUGAAUUAAACGUUGUUAUAAAUUAACACGAAUCAUUUUAGAAAUAAUGUGACACAUGAUACCCACCUACUAUACGGCAACUCUAUAGCUACCUGUAAGAGCCAUUUUCCUGUUUUUCAGUUAUGUUGUAAUGUCUGUGUUGACCACUGAGUGGUGUUGCCGUAUUGCGGGUACAGGUGUUAAGGGGACGUCAUUUGGGGUACCUCUGUUGUUUGACCCCGGAAGGGCAUACGGUUUUUGACCGCAAGAAAUACAAAGUUGUUGUUAUGUCACUGAGGAUCUAUGAAUGUAUUCCGUAUUCCCAUGCAAUUGGUGUCAUGGUGAGGAAAUAAACGGGUUGUAAAUCGGAGACGAUCGCACGGAUCAAUCUUUGCUUCACGUAGCUGCAUAGUAGGCUACUGGAAACAUCAACACAGCGCGUCAACCAGGUCACCCGGGGGUCAAACCACACGGAGCACACCCAUUGGAUGUGGCUCGUAUACUACCUUUCUAGAGGAAACAUGUUCCUGGUGGGUGAGGCUGCCUCUGACUGAAGGAGCUGCCCAGUGCAGUCAGUGUGUUGUGCAUGCUUUGGACAAGUUCCCGAUCAGGCAGGAUAGCCUGGCCAUCAUUCUACUGUCUCCCACCCCCUCAAAUUGGUCAAUUGGGCCUCCAAAGGGUUAUCAGGCUCCUCCCACCGCGGAGGAACACCGUGGCAUCGGUGACUUGAAGGUUUUCAGGCAACUCCGAACAACGACGGAUCACCAUUGGGUUGACACCAUUUAGAAACUGGUAGCCAAAAAGAGAAUCCUCCUUCCAGUUCUUCUGGACAUGUUCUACAGUUCGACAUGUAGUGAACGGAUUAACAGAAGCCAACGUGAAAAGAAUCACGUUCUGCAACAUCAGUCAAUUUGACGAGUAGCUGAGUGUGAUGGUUCCCCUUAAGAUAUUUAAUAAUUACAAUUAAUUCUUUACAGGGUAAGAAAACCCCAACAGAUUUUUUUUCAGCUGAAAACCAUUAUGUCUGGAACAGCUCUGUGUUGUUGUUUUUUAACCUAAAUAUAGAGUUAACAGUGGAUUUUCUAUUGGCAGUGUGGCUUUUAUCGAGCGACUUUGAUGUGCGCUUUGACCUCGAACGUGUUUACUCCUAUUAAACCGAAUGUGUCAUUUCUAAAUCCUGUUUGACUUAUUUACCCCUCAGAUCAGUAUAUUUUUUAUCUUCUUGGCAUAAUUACACCUUCUAAAAUGGAGGGCUUACCUAGACGGUCAUACCUAAAGUAUUAACAAUAAAUUAACAAUUAACAUGACAUUCAGACAUUUGUACCAGAUAUUGGAGUUUGUUUGCAGCUGAAGACCUUGCUGAUUUCGUCAAUGCUUUCCCACUGUUCUGUAGAACAUACAUAUCCUUGGAGUGUCAACACCGUGAUCCUGGACAGGGAAAACACAAAUACUUUUGUUUCAACAUGAUACAACAUGUAUUAACGGACAAUGGGAUGCUGGAUAAUCAAACCGUCUCUUCUGGCUUCAGUAAGACAUGUUACCAAUAUAAUUAGUCAAAAUAAAUGCAUUGUGCCUGUGACAAAUGCAAAGUAUUUUGUUGGUCAGUACUCCGUACUGACCAACCCACAUUAAGUCCAAGACAGACAGAUGCAGUAUUGCAGUACAUUACUUACAAGGAUACAUACUAAGUAUCCUUGUAAGUAAAUUACUUACAAGGAUACAUACUAGCAGGCUUAUCUAUGCCUCAUAUGCACCCAUACGGCCUCAUUAAUAUAUAUAUACACUUUUUCUUCUACCCUUUACUUAGUAAUGCUACAUUUGUAAUCAUAAAAUGCAUCAUAUAUUUUACAUAGGCUAGCGCAAGUCCAUAUGAUUUAAUUCUGUUAAUCUCAGACAAACACUUAAAAUAAAAAUAAAACAGGCUUUACCCUCGUCCAAUGUUAAAAAGGAGCACAGUUUUCUUGGUGAAGGAGAAACGGACCUCAUCAGGCAGAGAAUCAACAUCCUCAACACCGUUUGCAUCCAGCUCCACCUUCAUAAAGUCAGGAAUCCCCUCUGCAACGCUCCAGCUAGGAAAUAUUUAGGGGAAUAAACAAAGCUUGA